GUCCCUUUCGCGCAGAGGAUACCGCGUUGGACUUCUAAUCCAAGGGUCGUGUGUUCAAUCCCCACAAGGGACG